UACAGAGGGGGCAAGCGUUGUUCGGAAUUACUGGGCGUAAAGGGCGCGUAGGCGGCCUGCUAAGUCGAACGUGAAAUCCCCGGGCUCAACCCGGGAACUGCGUCCGAUACUGGCAGGCUUGAAUCCGGGAGAGGGAUGCGGAAUUCCAGGUGUAGCGGUGAAAUGCGUAGAUAUCGAGAGGAACACCUGCGGCGAAGGCGGGUUGCUGGGCUGACACUGACGCUGAUGCGCGAAAGCCAGGGGAGCGAGCGGG
rnacentral:rRNA from 1 species